rnacentral:rRNA from 1 species
UACGGGGGAGCAAGCGUUGUUCGGAUUUACUGGGCGUAAAGGGCGCGUAGGCGGCCAGCACAAGUCAGUUGUGAAAUCUCCGAGCUUAACUCGGAAAGGUCAACUGAUACUGUGCGGCUAGAGUGCGGAAGGGCAACUGGAAUUCUUGGUGUAGCGGUGAAAUGCGUAGAUAUCAAGAGGAACACCUGCGGCGAAGGCGGUGCUGGCCGACACCGAGCUGAGGCGCGAAAGCCAGGGAGCGAACGGG